GGAAGUUUAUUUGAUUUCUCAUUGCAAACGAAUGGUUUAAAUGAAAACCGAUUCGCCAUUCAUCCAUCUAAUGGUAUCAUCAACCUGCUGACGGCAAUUCCCAAUGAUAACAUCAACCUAUAUAUGAUUCUAGUGAACGCCAUUGAUAGAGGACUCCCAGCUAGAACUGGUACCACCACUGUGAUGGUGACAGUUACAAGAUCUGCUGGACCAUUAUCAUUUACUUUACCAUCAUAUGCUCGGACGAUAAGUGAAAAUCAACCAUUAGCACAACCUGUUAUCACAACCAUAGCACAACCAGGAACACCAACUUAUAGUAUUAUUGCCCAUGGUACAGCUCCAGAAUAUUUCCAAAUUAACGCCAAUACAGGUGUUAUUACCAUAAAGAGGGACUUAACAUUAGACUCCUCUAGUUUAACUUUCUAUCAGUUAUUAGUACAAGCAACAGCACCAGGAACCGUAACAACACAAAGAGCCCAGGCUUAUGUUAAUAUCACUGUCACUAGAAAUGAGAAUUCUCCUAUCUGUAGCCGCCAAUCUAAUGUUGUUAGCAUACCGGACACAACCAGAAUUGGUUCAAUUUUAUAUACAGUU